GACGAACGCUGGCGGCGUGCUUAACACAUGCAAGUCGAACGAUGAAGAAGAGAAACGCGAACUUCGGUUCAAAUUUCACUUCGGAUUAGUGGCAGACGGGUGAGUAACGCGUGAGCAACCUACCUCUUACAAAGGGAUAGCCUCGGGAAACCGUGAUUAAUACCAUAUGACACAUUCAUAAGGCAUCUUCAGAAUGUUAAAGCUACGGCGGUAAGAGAUGGGCUCGCGUCCCAUUAGCUAGUUGGUGAGGUAACGGCCCACCAAGGCGACGAUGGGUAACCGGGCUGAGAGGGUGAGCGGUCACAUUUGAGCUGAGACACGGUCCAAACUCCUACGGGAGGCAGCAGUGGGUAAUAUAGCACUAUGGAGGGAAUGCUGAUGCAGCGACGCCGGGUGAGCGAUGAAGGAAUUCGUUACGUGAAGCUCUGUUCUAUGGGAAGAAAAGGACUGUACCAUAGGAGAAAGCCCCGGCUAACUACGUG
rnacentral:rRNA from 1 species